UCAAGGCGAAGGUUUAGAGAUAAUUGGAUUCUCCCAGAAAAAAAAAAUUAAAAAAUUAAGAGAAAAGAGGGAGAGAGAUCUCUCAACACGCCAGUCUUCUGUUCGACUCACUGUCGCCGCCGUUUUAACGGAUAAGCCUCCGAUUCUCCUCCUCCUCUGCCACCUAUCCUCUACGAAAUGGCGCAUUCAUGCGUAUCUUCUUCUUCUCUCAGAUUCAACUCAUCGUUUUCUCUCUCUUCACCAAACCCAUUUUCUUCCUCCGCCAAAAUCGUAUCUUUUCCCUUCCAACCUCUCCGUUCCAGGAAGCUGAAGAGUUCUAACCCCCGGAGCUCUUCGGCGAAGGCUAUGCACUCUCCGGAGUUUUAUGCCCCGGAAAGGACCUCACGCGAUGGUAUUUGGUCGAUUAGGGAUGAUUUACACAUCCCAUCAUCGCCAUACUUCCCAGCUUAUGCUCAAGGGGGGCAGGGCCCGCCUCCCAUGGUUCAAGAGCGUUUUAUGAGUGUUAUUAGCCAACUUUUCCAAUACCGGAUAAUACGAUGUGGUGGAGCCGUUGAUGAUGAUAUGGCAAACAUCAUUGUUGCUCAAUUGCUUUAUCUUGAUGCUGUUGAUCCCACUAAGGAUAUAGUCAUGUAUGUGAACUCUCCAGGUGGAUCAGUUACAGCUGGAAUGGCUAUCUUUGAUACCAUGAGGCACAUAAGGCCUGAUGUUUCAACCGUAUGCGUUGGGCUUGCAGCUAGUAUGGGAGCUUUUCUACUAAGUGGUGGUACUAAAGGAAAAAGAUAUAGUCUUCCUAACUCAAGGAUAAUGAUCCAUCAGCCCCUUGGUGGAGCACAGGGUGGGCAGACUGAUAUUGAUAUUCAGAUACCAGAGACUCAACCCAUUAGCUUAUAACUAUUGGUCUGUUACUUUUUCUUGAUAUCCUUUAUCGCUCUACGGCAUUGUUUGUAAGUCGUCCGAUAUAUCGCGAUAUAUCGCCUGUAUCGGUAGGCCAAGGGUCGAUACACACCCAGAUGCGACUUAGGCGACUAACAUUCGAGUCGUCCGAUAUAUCGCGCGACUCGACCGAUUAGUCGCCUGAUCGAGUCGAGGACGACUUAAUGGGCUUCACUCCAGAUUGGGCCAGGCGGACAGAACUGACGCCGCCUCUCCUGGAUGAAGCUACUGGUGCAACUCAAGGUCUAGGAGGUCGUAAUCUGCCAAGGGCUGCUGCAAUGAAAAGGAAGAGUGGAUCUAAACAUGAUGCUGCUGCUGCAAGUAAAAGGACUAAGCAACCUAGGACAGCUGCAAUUCCAGUUGAAGAUGAAGUGUCAAGUGAAGAGGAUGAUGAAAUGGGAGAUGAGAGUGGAUCUGAUUACGAAGAUGAUGAAGAGGGUGGUGGAGGUUCAGCUGCAGGGGCUUUCCAAGUGGAUGAUGCUGUGCUUUGAGUUUGCUUAAUUGCUUGCAAAUGAAAUGUUGCAUCACAAAGCAAAUUUGAAUGGAUAUUUGGCGUACCACACUGGUCAAAGCCUAGAGAAGAUCAACCAAGACACAGAUCGCGAUUUCUUCAUGAGUGCUAAAGAAGCCAAAGAGUACGGUCUC